AUGAUCAACUCCAAUGUUAGGUGCAGGACCCAUCUUGUUCAAUCUUUCUCCGGAAGGGAAGUUGAAUGAUGCUCUUUUUGGCCUAGUUGAUUUGAGGUCGUUGCCGGAAUUUAUAGGUUGUGCACUUCAUUCGACUAUUUAAAUACAUUCUGUGUCUUCCGGCUAAAGAGCACAUUUUCUUUUGUAAGUUCAUGUGGGUUCUACUUUGGACAAGGCAUGUGAGGCUAUUGGCGAAGACUUGGUUGGUGCCAUGCCAAUCCCAUGCAGCAUCUAAUAUAGUCUCAAGACUGCAUUGUACUAAGUGUUUUAGAAAGACCGCUACGUUAUUGAGUGGCUCAAUAAUUUGAGUGGUGAAUGAAUUUAUGAUUGCAUCUCCACCCUUUCUACUCGACAACGGACCUUGUUUGCCUUCGCUGGACAAAAGUUUGUCUUUUACUUUUGUUAGUCAAAUAGACAAUAACGUCAAUCACUGUUUUUUCCUUUUGAGUUUUGCCAUUUUAUUAGUUACUCU